rnacentral:rRNA from 1 species
UAGGCUAGGGGGCGAUGAGCUUACUGAACCUUAUCAAACUUCGAAUGCCGGAUAAAUGGUGCACAGCAGUCAGACAGUGUGAGAUAAGUUUCAUUGUCAAGAGGGAAACAGCCCAGACCCACAGCUAAGGUCCCAAAUGAACGCUAAGUGGAAAACGAUGUGGGGUUGCAGAAACAACCAGGAUGUUGGCUUAGAGGCAGCCACUCAUUAAAAGAGUGCGUAAUAGCUCACUGGUCGAGUGACCCUGCGCGGAAAAUAUAACGGGGCUAAGCGUCCAACCGAAGCUUGGGAUGUCUUAAUGACAUGGUAGGGGAGCGUCGUGUACGGGGUGAAGCAUGAGCGAGAGCACAUGUGGACUUUACACGAGUGAGAAUGCCGGAAUGAGUAGCGAGAAUUAUGUGGGAAUCAUAAUGGCCGAAAAUCUAAGGUUUCUUGGGGAAGGUUCGUCCGCCCAAGGUAAGCCGGGAGCUAAGGCGAGGCCGAAAGGCGUAGUCGAUGCACAUACGGUUGAAAUUCCGUAGCCGCCGAAAUUGUUAAGCACAGGGACACAUAGAGAUAUCCGAACCCGGGCGUUGGUUGACCCGGGCGCAAGGGACCGAACAUCAGUAGGGAAGUCGGAGAUGCUCUGUGGCGAGAAAAGCUGUGUGUAUUGAUUAGGCGCCCGUACCGCAAACCGACACAGGUAGAUGAGGAGAGAAUCCUAAGGCCAACGGGAGAAGGGUUGUUAAGGAACUCGGCAAAUUGACCCCGUAACUUCGGGAUAAGGGGAGCCUCCUACGGGAGGCCGCAGUGAAUAGGCCCAAGCAACUGUUUACCAAAAACACAGGUCUCUGCUAAAUCGAAAGAUGACGUAUAGGGGCUGACGCCUGCCCGGUGCCGGAAGGUUAAGAGGAGAGCUUAGCGCAAGCGAAGGUUCGAAUUGAAGCCCCGGUAAACGGCGGCCGUAACUAUAACGGUCCUAAGGUAGCGAAAUUCCUUGUCAGGUAAGUUCUGACCCGCACGAAUGGCGUAAUGAUUUGGGCACUGUCUCAACAGCCCGCCCGGCGAAAUUGUAGUACUGGUGAAGAUGCCAGUUACCCGCAACUAGACGGAAAGACCCCAUGGAGCUUUACUGUAGCUUAAUACUGAAGAUCGGUAAUGCAUGUACAGGAUAGGUGGGAGCCUAGGAAACCCGGGCGUCAGCUUGGGCGGAGGCAACCUUGGAAUACCACCCUUGUAUUGCUGGUUUUCUAACCUGCGGCCAUGAAUCUGGUCGGGGGACACUGUUAGGUGGGCAGUUUGACUGGGGCGGUCGCCUCCAAAAGCGUAACGGAGGCGCUCAAAGGUUGGCUCAGCACGGACGGAAAUCGUGCAUAGAGUGCAAACGCAUAAGCCAACUUGACUGCGAGACCGACGGGUCGAGCAGGUACGAAAGUAGGAGUUAGUGAUCCGGUGGUAUGUGAGUGGAAAUGCCAUCGCUCAACGGAUAAAAGCUACCCUGGGGAUAACAGGCUGAUCUCCCCCAAGCGUCCACAGCGACGGGGAGGUUUGGCACCUCGAUGUCGGCUCGUCACAUCCUGGGGCUGGAUUCGGUCCCAAGGGUUCGGCUGUUCGCCGAUUAAAGUGGCACGCGAGCUGGGUUCAGAACGUCGUGAGACAGUUCGGUCCCUAUCUGUUGCGGGCGCAGGAGAUUUGAAGGGAGCUGUCCUUAGUACGAGAGGACCGGGAUGGACAGACCUCUGGUGCACCAGUUGUCGUGCCAACGGCACAGCUGGGUAGCUACGUCUGGACGAGAUAAACGCUGAAAGCAUCUAAGUGUGAAACUCCCCCUAAGAUAAGAUCUCCCAUCCUUUAUGGAGUAAGGGACGACAAAGACUAUGUCGUUGAUAGGUCGGAAGUGUAAGUGCAGUAAUGCAUUGAGCUGACCGAUACUAAUAACCCGAGGGCUUGACCU